UUUAUUACCCACUUAGGAAGAAAAUUGAUAAUGUACGAUAUUCGAGCUUUGACAAUGACUCAAAUAAUGAGGUCAAUAAAGCAUAUAAUCAUAAAUCUUUACCUACUCAACACUACUUUUGUCAAAAGCAGGCAAUCUUUUUAGCUCCAAACCAUUCACUUCCAACAACAGCGAUCUUUUUGCCCUACUUGCAUUUAUACCUACUACGUAUAACUGCAUCUUAAUUUCUUUAAUUAAAUUCGGUGAACAAUAAAUUAAACCAAAGCUAGAUAUUACUAGAAUAUUCUAGACUAUUUUAAAAUAGUCUAGAAUGAGCUAGAAUGUUCUAGAAGGUUCGAGAACAUUAUGGAGUUCUCUGGAACAUUCUAGAAGAUGAUAGAAACUCUUUUAUGUAUNNNN
rnacentral:lncRNA from 1 species